rnacentral:lncRNA from 10 species
CCGCCCCCUGCCCCGCCUCCUCCCGCGUCUUGGCCCGCAAGAGUCCCGGGGGUCCGCCCGCAGCUGGCUAAGCGCUAGCCCGGCCUGUGGCGAGUCUGCAGAGCUCGCCCGGAAGUAGCGUUGCGCGCGCAGAGGAUGGGCGCUGAGCAGCACACAGCCCGCGGCGGGGUCUCAGGAUCCGCGGCGCUGCCCGGGGCCGGGGGAAGGAAGCCAGCCGAGGAGACGCACGUGCCCUGAGUCCGGGAGCGGGGAGCCUCUUCAUCUCUCCAUCCUCCCUCCGCGCGCGCCCUCAGCCGUCCUCGUCCGCUCACCAUGCACCUCCCCUCCAAGAAAGGGCCACAUGCGUGCCAGGGACGCGAGCCCCGGCCACAGGGACAUAGCAGCCUAGAAGAGACAGAGCUUCACCAUGAUGGCCAGGCUGGUCUCGAACUCCUGGACUCAAGCAAUCUGCCUACCUGGGCCUCCCAAAGUGUUGGGAUUGUGGGCAUGAGCCACCUUGCCUGGCAUAUUCAAUGUUCUGUAGAGGAAUAAAAGUUCCCUGUUUUUCAAAUGAGCCCAUGAGUCAAAAAGAAUGGCAUAAGGCAAUUACCCAUAAAAACAAAAUUAAUAAAAUCUUCAUGUGGCACACCUAAAAACACUUCUCUUUCCAUGUAAGAACUAAAUAUAUGUCACUCUUCUGAUCAGGCACAUGGGCUGGAAUGAAAGAUCGUCCUUAUCUGGUUUAUUGCAGGACUCUCAUGCUUCCAACAGAAAAGGGAAAGCCAAUAGACCAAAAAAAAAAAAAAAAACCAAAAACUAGUUGUCUGAAGUUUUUUUUUUUUUUUUUUUUUAAAGUUUCUUUCUAUUCGAAUAACUAGCUGUCUAUAAUCAGGGUGCCAACUGAACAAUGAGUGCAGACACAGACAGGUUUGGCGUCACCUGUGUGUUCUGCGUCGGGAUCUGUAACAGCAGUGCCAGUGCACUGAAGUCGAAGGUUUCAUCUAAGGCCAGAAGUGCUCCGUGAACACCACUCUCUAUAAGAUUGUUUGCAUAUUCUUUAAGGCCAAUUGACAGGAUCCAGCGAAUCACUCGAUCAUUGCUCCAAACAAGCACGUCUGCAAAAGAAUAAAGACAAUUAUAAAAGUGGCUUCAGAAAGCCAUCUUUAUCACAUGUACCCUGUAAUGCAGGAGAAAGAUUCCUACCAUGGUUCCUAAUCCUUCGGCUCCUGAGAAAAGUGCUGGGAGACACUGCUAAAUAGACAACCAUUUGCUGCACUGAGACAAUGGUGUCCUGGCCCUGCUCCACUCUCAGGGAGACUCUCCCAUUAGAACUCAUCCUUCCAGUGAGCACGAGAGGAAUGAAGUUAUUAUUUCUAGAGAAAAGAAGAUGAUGAGGAUCCAGGGAUCAGAAGCCAGAGGACUGCAAGAACUUGAAUACCUAACAUGUAUAAACAUGCUUCACACACAGACUGGAGAGUCUUCUGAAAUACUUCAUCACGGAUGGAGCUGGCUCCAUAAUAAUAUGAACACUUUGCUCAAUUCAACAGAAACCUCUCAUUUCUAAUCUCGAAGUCUUUGUCUCAUUUUAAAAUGAGAGAAACUUAACAAUAUCAUCCAGCACAUUAGAGACUUUGCAGAAAAUCUUUUUUUUUCCUCUCUUUUUCUUGACAAUGUCCUGCUCUGUCACCCAGGCUGGAUACAGCCUGGUACCAUCAUAGCUCACUGCAGCCUCAACCUCCUGGGCUCAAGUGAUUUUUCCCACCUCAGCCUCCUGAGGAGCUGGAACUACAGGCGUGUGUCACGAAGCUCAGCUAAUUUUUUUGUACUGACAGGGUCUCACUAUGUUCCCCAGGCUGGUCUUGAACUCAUGGGCUCAGACAAUACUCCUGCCUUGGCCUCCCAAAGUGCUGAGAUUACAGGCAUGAGCUACCAUGCCCAGCCACAAUAUCUUAUGCAAAUUAACAAAUUAUUCAAUUUGCUCUAUUAGAUCUAAAAAUAGCCACUCUAAAAAUAUAUGCAGAUGAUCACCAAUCACUUCCAAAGACACUUCCAAAGAUCUUUGUCUAUUGGAAAAAGAUGUAAAAUAGAUACAGAAAACAAAACAGAUGGACAUAUUUCAUUGCCAAUGCCCUUUUCUGGAUAAAAGUCCAUACAUAUACACACACUGUAUAAAUGUCGACUUACGACUUUUCUCCUGAUUCACAUUAACUCAAUCACAAGUAGACUUCCCUUCAACUGGGCCAUCUCCCAACCAUAUUUUUAUCCUUAGUUUCUUUCUUAGUAUAAAGUGGGGAUGAAAACAGCACUUAGACUGACAGGGCUAAGGUAAAGAUGAAAGAAAGCAACCCCUGAGUACUUAGAACACCACCUGGCACCUACUCACUGUUAGUAAGACUGGCCUCUUCUUAUCAUUAUUGUUAUUGGUGACUUCCUUGCAUUCCAGGAAUUCUGGGAGUCAUUACUCUGAGCUUAAUGUUUACUGUCUAAUUUUAAAAGCAAAUUCUGACUGGGUGUGGUGGCUCACACCUGUAAUCCCAACACUUUGGAAGGCCAAGGUGGGAGGAUCCCCUGAGCCCAAAAGUUCGAGAUCAGCCUAGGCAACAUAGCGAGACCCUGUCUCUAC